rnacentral:rRNA from 1 species
AGCAGCCGCGGUAAUUCCAGCUCCAAUAGCGUAUAUUAAAGUUGUUGCAGUUAAAAAGCUCGUAGUUGAAUUUCGGGGUCAGCAAGUUGGUCGUGCCACUGGUAUGCACUGGCUUUGCUGAUUCCUCCUUCUUGAAGAACUGUAAUGCUAUUAAUUUAGUGUUGCAGGGAAACAGGACUGUUACUUUGAAAAAAUUAGAGUGUUUAAAGCAGGCUAACGCUUGAAUACAUUAGCAUGGAAUAAUGAAAUAGGACGUUUGAUCCUAUUUUGUUGGUUUCUAGGAUUGACGUAAUGAUUAAUAGGGAUAGUUGGGGGCAUUAGUAUUCAAUUGUCAGAGGUGAAAUUCUUGGAUUUAUUGAAGACUGACUACUGCGAAAGCAUUUGCCAAGGAUGUUUUCAUUAAUCAAGAACGAAAGUUAGGGGAUCGAAGACGAUCAGAUACCGUCGUAGUCUUAACCAUAAACUAUGCCGACUAGGGAUCGGAUGAUGUUAAUUUUUAAUGACUCAUUC